CCUACGGGAGGCAGCAGUGAGGAAUAUUGGUCAAUGGACGAGAGUCUGAACCAGCCAAGCAGCGUGAAGGAUGACUGCCCUAUGGGUUGUAAACUUCUUUUAUAGGGGAAUAAAGGUAUCUACGUGUGGCUAUUUGCAUGUAUCCUAUGAAUAAGCAUCGGCUAACUCCGUGCCAGCAGCCGCGGUAAUACGGAGGAUGCGAGCGUUAUCCGGAUUUAUUGGGUUUAAAGGGUGCGUAGGUUGUUUUUUAAGUCAGCGGUGAAAGUUUGUGGCUCAACCAUAAAAUUGCCGUUGAUACUGGAAGACUUGAGUAUGUUUGAGGUAGGCGGAAUGCGUGGUGUAGCGGUGAAAUGCAUAGAUAUCACGCAGAACUCCGAUUGCGAAGGCAGCUUACUAAGCCAUAACUGACACUGAAGCACGAAAGCGUGGGGAUCAAACAGGAUUAGAUACCCUUGUAGUC
rnacentral:rRNA from 1 species